GAUGAACGCUGGCGGCGUGCCUAAUACAUGCAAGUCGAGCGAACAGACGAGGAGCUUGCUCCUCUGACGUUAGCGGCGGACGGGUGAGUAACACGUGGAUAACCUACCUAUAAGACUGGGAUAACUUCGGGAAACCGGAGCUAAUACCGGAUAAUAUAUUGAACCGCAUGGUUCAAUAGUGAAAGACGGUUUUGCUGUCACUUAUAGAUGGAUCCGCGCCGCAUUAGCUAGUUGGUAAGGUAACGGGUUACCAAGGCAACGAGGCGUAGCCGACCGGAGUGGGGGAUAGGCCACACUGGAAGGGGGACGGGGUCCAUAGGCCUACGGGAGGGAGCAGAAGGGAAUGGGCCGCAACAGGGGGGAACCUUGCGGAACAGCGCCACGUGAGUGGUGGAGGUCUUGCGAGCGGAAAAACCGGUUUUGAGGGAAAAACAAAUUUGGAAGGAACUAUGCACGUAUUGACGGUACCUAAUCAGAAAGCCACGGCUAACUACGUG
rnacentral:rRNA from 1 species